rnacentral:rRNA from 1 species
UUCCUGUACUUGGUGUUACUGCGAAGGGGGGAAGGAGAAGGCUAUGUUGGCCGGGCGACGGUUGUCCCGGUUUAAGCGUGUAGGCUGGUUUUCCAGGCAAAUCCGGAAAAUCAAGGCUGAGGCGUGAUGACGAGGCACUACGGUGCUGAAGCAACAAAUGCCCUGCUUCCAGGAAAAGCCUCUAAGCAUCAGGUAACAUCAAAUCGUACCCCAAACCGACACAGGUGGUCAGGUAGAGAAUAC